ensembl:lncRNA
CCUCCCUCCCUCCCUCCCUCCCUCCCUCCCUCUCUGGUUCCUAGAUCUCCUAUCGCACUUGGCUUCAGAUACAUAUCUCAUCACAUGUACACUUCACGUGCCUACUACUGUACACGCAUGCCCACACACACACACACACACACACACACACACACACACACACACACACACACACACACACACACACACACACACACACACACACAAAAACAUACACAUGUGCACGCGCAGCUCCAGCCCUGAUCGAUGCCUUCAUGUGUCCUCUGUCAACACGUUGGUAAAGAAAACCAUCCCUACGUUGUCGACUCCCUGGCUGAUAUCCCAUUGCUAAGGCUCACUGCUCUCAGUUAUGCAUUUCGUUUUCAAAGUUUUCUCUUUGAAUGAAAGCCUGCGCUCUUUCUGCCUUAUUGAUGUCUUAUCAACCCUGAUUAUGGUAUGCUGAGAUUACCCUCCACCUUUUCUCCUCCUUCUCCUACUCCUCCUCCAAACAGACUUGUAAUUAAAAAGAAAGAAAAAAAACACUUGUAAGAUAAGCAGAGGGAUUUCUGUAACACUGUAGCAGGGUUGGUCCGGUGUGUGUGUGUGUGUGUGUGUGUGUGUGUGUGUGUGUGUGUGUGUGUGUGUGUGUGUGUGUGUGUGUGUGUGUGUGUGUGUGUGUGUGUGUGUGUGUGUGUGUGUGUGUGUGUGUGUGUUUACUUUUGACAUUUUUUUCUGUCUAGUUCAUCAGGUAAAGGUUAGUAUAGUAACUGUUUUAGAGAAGCCGAGAUUAAGUCACACCAAAAAUAUACGUAAGAGAUGCUAGGUCUUACACUGCGUCGGACACACACAAUCAAUCACAGAUAUAAAAGGAACAACAUUCGCAAAAAUCUGCUGUUUUUAUGUAGCUUAGCCUGUAUAUUCCGCUCAGCUCUCGCUGUGAUUUUAGCUGAAGCCCACCGCAUCGUAUGUCUCACGGCAUCUCUCUGCUUCUUCAUGAUUCACAUCAUAUAUGGCUCUGGGGGUUCUACCAACCAACCAACCAUCUUUGUUUGGACUCCAUACCUCCCCCCACUCUCGCCCCCUUCACUUUAGCCCGUCUAUUGGAGUCUAUAUGAUGACAUGAAUGAACUGUACCUGCAGCUGACAACCGUGUUGAGCCAACAUAUCAUUCAUUCAAACUGUCUCAUGGCAGAUUCAUCGCUGCAUCAGCCUGUACUCUAAAUCUCUGAUAUUUUCACCUACUUGGCUCUUUGCCCCCGCUUGAAGUACAGCCUGCUCUUUACAGAGUAGUUUACAGCAACUCUAAGAUGUAAAAAAAAAAGAAAAAAUGACUUUUCUAUGCUCGUUUUGUGAUGGCUGUCGUCGGCAGAUACUGAGUUCCCCCAUUACCAGAUGCUUUCAUGCUAACCAGGCUGAACUACUACAAGGGACACAUUGUACCAUGGCUCAUUUCACCGCUUACUUCACAGGUCCAAAUGUGUUUGAUGUUGGUCCGAUCCAGACCCUGUUCUGCCCCAAUCCUAAAUACAUGAAGACAAACACAAAAGCACAAAAUUGGUUCGGAGGGGGCGUUCCCUUGCCAAUUACUAGAAUGUCCAAACAGAAUGGCUUUUGACCAGAAUUUCUCUCUCUCUCUCUCUCUCUCUCUCUCUCUCUCUCUCUCUCUCUCUCUCUCUCUCUCUCUCUCUCUCUCUCUCUCUCUCUCUCUCUCUCUCUCUCUCUCUCUUUGGAUGAACACGUCUUACUUUGCAAGUGUGUGUUUUAUUUUAUUUGUCUAUACUUUUUUAUUUCACCCUUUUUUGUUUGGUUUGAUGGUAUCUGAGCUCCAAGUUGUAUAUUGUGACUGCUAAAAAAAACGUGAUUAAUAGUGAAAAAUUGCUGUUAGAUUUUGGAUUCCCUAAUCCCUUCCAAUGUGUAUAUUAGCCACUAUAUCUAUUUACAACAGGAAUUCAUUUUUAUUAAUUUGUUACUGCAUCUGCAUAUCAUGAAAAGGAACCCUUUGAUGAGUUCAAGUACCAGGCAUGUAUAUAAUGUGUGGUAAACUUUACUUUGGUACUACAGAUUGGCAUGCUUUUUUUGGGGUUAUUUCUCUUCCUUAAUUUAUUUGAAAUGAAGUUGUUUAAAAGGGUAUCUACUAUGGCUCCUGAGACAGUGAAGUCUCCAAAUGUGUGUGUGUGGCAGGAUCUCUGGUGCCACAAGUCCAAAGGUUUUGAUUUGAAAGGAGUAAGGGAAAAAGAAAAGUACACGUUGAAUUGGAAAUCUCAAGCUGUAAUUUCGGCUGGCCUUGUGUUUUGUUUGUCAUUUUCUUUCAUUUUUUAGUAGAGACAUCAUCAUUACAUUUUCCUCCACUGACUUUGAAAGUUCAUCCCACAGUUAAGGAUACCAUUGAAGAAGACCAAGUACAGUUUACUUAAAAAAAAAAAUACUGAUGUAUAUUGCAGUCACAUUGAAGAUUUGCCUACAGUAGUUAUGUUUGACAUAUAUGUGGGGCUUUGGGGAAUUUAAUCAAUUAUCAUAUUUCAUAGAAUAAGUUGAAAUAAAUCUUGUAAAAAAAAAAAAAGAAAUAACUGACAACACUUUGGUAUUCAGACCAGAAACAUAUCUACUAGGAGAAAGAAAAUAAGAGAAAUGAUUGUGUUUCAUUUAUAGAGUAAUGUAAAAUCCACUCCUUCUUAAACUGAAAAAAUAUCUAGAUUAGUUAUCGGUUACUUUAUGUGUGUAACAAACUGUUUCAGUGAACUCCGAGUUGGAAAUCGUUUGAUGAAUGUCUUUCUUCUUUUUUUGAGUUGAAAGUAGACGUUGAACAUGAAUUAUAUUCCACCCUAGGUCCAACUAUAUAAUAUUACAACGUGUAUCUAUUAGUUUUGAUCCGAGAACACCAGAUUCACAUUUCCACAUUUAAUUUUGCCAAGGCUCUUUGUUGGUUCUGGAUCCCUCCACGAGCAAGAAUACAUUAGUAUUAAACUAAGUGUUAGUAAAUCCAGGCGUUGUCGUGGACUUAAUCUAUUCCUCAUCAAUAAAUGGGUUAUGAGAUACACUACACAUAUUUCAGAGCUUUUAUGAUGAUGCAUUUAUUAAAUUGCAUUUUUAAAACAGUUGUGUUUUUAUUUGCCACAAUGUGCUGUUAGAAACACACAAAAUAUGCACUCUCAUUUACUCGUUUUUCUAAAUAAAAGAUUCAAAUGGAUGUUCUUUUUAUUCGAUUUUGCUCGAUAUGAACUCCAACCUGUACCCACACUUUCCAAAUGUUUUUUUUUUAUACAAUAGCCAUGUUGUUUUGUGUGUUUAUUUUGUGUGUUUAACUGCCUAUACACCCGCCAGGGUACUCUGUUUUUAUAGAAUCAUAACUGUUGCUGUUUUUUUGUUGAUCUAGGUCCACAAUUUUCUUUUUGUCCGUUAAAACUAAGCUUUAAACCUCCUGCCUCUGCCACAUCGCACACAUACAAACUCUUCAUCUUUUACAGACCACCUCUAAACCCCCAGAGAAAAGAACCCAUCCACAUCCCUCUCAUUAAAAACCAACAACAACAUUAAAAAAAACGAGGUUUCUUUCCUUUGCCAGACGCAACCGACGCACGGGAUAUAGGAACCGUUUAGUCAUCUGUGCAUCCGAUGUUAGCGUGAGCGAGCAUGUUCUCAGCGUCUCCCCACUGUACUUGGCUGUCUCAACACGCUUUAGCACAUGCCGGACUCUGACACAUGUAGAAAGGCCUGGAAACCCUACAUGGUACCUACUCACAGCUACGUGCCGGGAACCGGCAUGGAGAUUUGCUUUCUUUGUUUUAUUUUGCAUCUCAGGAAUAUUUUCAUCGCUUACAUUUUGAUUUGGUUGGGAGAGGGGGCUGGCGUUUAAGGGUGUAGGGGGAGGAGGGGAAGGGGGGAUAGCUGUCUUAAACCAGUGUUCAUCACUUCCUGUUUGUCGACACCUCAUCUCCUUUCUCAACUGUCAUAAUGUUUUAUGAAAAAACAUUCUAUUGUGAUUACUUCAUAUCUUUUUCAUCCUCCUGUCAUCAGGGUUACAGUUUUUUGCUAUAACCACUUGAGAUGUAAAAAUAUAAUGACGGAAGAGUUUCCAAAACACACCGCGCUUAUAUCUGUCUGGAGGAAAAUAACCAAGAUUGUUCAAUGUUACGGUGGGUGGAGUAGUAAUUCACUUAAUAUUUGUCACUCACAUUGCGCCCAGGACUGCGCUGUAGACGCACGUAGUUCCAGUGUGUGACGGUAUGCAGUGCUCUCUGGGGGUAUGGGGGGGGUACUGUACAGACUAGACUGAGUAAUGAGCGCCAUCAAUGAGGGUGAUCCUUCCCCCCAGUGGCCCCUGGAGAUAUUUGGUUUUAAUUUAGAGCCUCAUUCCCAUGUUUCCAAUACAAUUGUUGAAUAAAUAGCUGCC